AUUCCAUGAUGGGGACAUUCUAGGAUGUAGUCUUGAAAGCGCUCCCAUUCUUCUGGAACAGAUUCAUCAUUUUGUUGCUGAAAACUUGUAAUCUUCCCACGGAGAGC
rfam:Sorghum bicolor cultivar BTx623 chromosome 4, whole genome shotgun sequence.